AAUUUUGUACAAUGGGGGAAACCCUGAUCCAGCCAUCCCGCGUGUAUGAUGAAGGCCNNNGGGUUNUNAAGCACUUUAAGUUGNGANNAAGGGCAGUAAGUUAAUACCUAGCUGUUUUGACGUUACCGACAGAAUAAGCCCCGGCUAACUUCGUGCCAGCAGCCGAGGUAAUACGAAGGGUGUAAGCGUGAAUUGGAAUUACUGGGCGGAAAGCGCGCGUAGGUGGUUUGUUAAGUGGGAAGUGAAAGCCCUGGGCUCAACCUGGGAACUGCUUUCAAAACUGGCAAGCUAGAGUAUGGCAGAGGGUGGUGGAAUUUCCUGUGUAGCGGUGAAAUGCGUAGAUAUAGGAAGGAACACCAGUGGCGAAGGCGACCACCUGGGCUAAUACUGACACUGAGGUGCGAAAGCGUGGGGAGCAAACAGG
rnacentral:rRNA from 1 species